GGUCUUUUGUUUAUAUAAAAGAUCUGACCUGCCCUAUGAUUUUUAAAUGGCUGCAGUAUUUUGACUGUACAAAGGUAGCAUAAUCAUUUGUCUUUUAAUUGGAGACUGGUAUGAAUGGUUGGAUGAGAAGUAUACUUUCUUUAUUUUAUAUAAAAAAUUUGAUUUUUUAGUCAAAAAGCUAGAAUAUAUUUAUAGGACGAGAAGACCCUAUAGAACUUUAUUUCUUAUUUUAUAUAAUUUUUAUAGUUUAUUAAAAGAUAAUAUAGAAUAUUAAAUUUUGUUGGGGUGAUGGGAAAAAUUAUAUAACUUUUCUUUUUAUAUACAUUUAUAUAUGUUUAAUUGAUCCUUUAUUAUGGAUAAUAAGAUUAAGUUACCUUAGGGAUAACAGCGUUAUUUUUUUGGAGAGUUCAUAUUGAUGAAAAAGUUUGCGACCUCGAUGUUGGAUUAAAAUAAGGAAUGGGGGCAGAAUAUCAUUAACCUAGGUCUGUUCGACCUUUAAAUUUUUACA
rnacentral:rRNA from 1 species